ACAAGCAUUGACUUCUCACUACCACAAUCAACUGAAUUCCAAAACCAAACGGCAAACCAGGAAAACCAACUAAACCCAAUCAAAAUGCCUUCACCUCCCUCAUCCUUCGCAACCAUUUCUCGUAACCGCACUGUCUUCUCUAGAAAAUGGACCAACAAGGAAUACGCAAUCGCAUUCACAAGCUUCUCCUUCACACUCAUCCUCUUCUCUCUCACUCGCCGCCCAAACCUCCAAGAACCUUCUAGAGUCUCUUCCUCCAAUCACCUUGUUCCCUUGACCCUCCUCUCAAAUGCCACCCAAAGAGGCGCACUUUGCUUGGAUGGGAGUGCCCCUGGGUACCACUUUCAGAAGGGAUUCGGGUCCGGAUAUCAAAAUUGGCUACUUCACAUUGAGGGAGGUGGGUGGUGUGAUUCGGUAGCUUCGUGUUAUCAGCGAAAAAUGACUGCGUUGGGUUCGUCCAAGCACAUGGAAACAGAGGUUCCUUUCUCUGGAAUAUUAAGCUCUGACCCUUCUCAAAAUCCUUAUUUCUUUAACUGGAACAAGGUGAGGGUACGCUAUUGUGAUGGUGCAUCUUUUGCUGGCCACCAAGAAAGUGAGAUUAAGGAUGGAAAUGGGUUGUUCUUCAGAGGCCAGAUCAUUUGGGAAGCUAUUAUGGAUGAACUCUUAUCAAUUGGCAUGUCUAAAGCAAAACAGGCACUGCUUUCAGGAUGCUCUGCUGGAGGGUUGGCAACUCUAAUACAUUGUGAUGACUUCCGAAAAUAUUUUUCGAAAGACAUAAAUGUUAAAUGUCUUGCUGAUGCUGGGUUUUUCCUAGACGAGGAGGAUGUUCUUCGAAAUAGGACAAUGAGAUCUUUCUAUCAUGACGUUGUUCAGCUUCAGGGUGUUGCAAAAAGUUUACACAAAGAUUGCAUUGCUAGAAUUGAACCAUUUAAGUGUCUUUUUCCAUUAGAAAUUGUUAAGAACAUAAAGACUCCAGUUUUUUUUGUCCACCCUGCUUAUGAUUUUUGGCAGAUACAAAAUAUUUUGGUACCUCAUGGUUCAGACCCCCAUGGUUACUGGAAAAGCUGCAGAUUGAACAUUCCCAAUUGCAAUGCUGAUCAGUUUGAUGUACUUCAUGGUUUCCGUAAAUCAUUGCUGAAGAGACUUGACGAGUUCCAGCAACGAAAGGAGAUUGGAAUGUUCAUAAAUUCCUGCUUUAUUCAUUGCCAGACAGGGAUGGGAGAGACAUGGCACUCCCACAAUUCCCCUAAAAUAAAUGAUAAGGUAAUUAAAGUUUGUGCUUCUCAUACGUACUGUGAAGAUCAUAAUUAUUCAAUUCAACUAACUGCAUGAGUUUGAGUAAAUUAACCCUUCUUCACUUUGCUUCAAGGUAAUAGUCUAAAACUAAUUGAGUAAAUUGCGUCCCUUCCCUUUAGAAAUGCUUCAAUUACAUUGUCCUCCCAGUUCCUUCUCUUGAGAGAUGAUAUUCCACUACAAUUAGUCCAGUUUAAUGUGAAUAAACCUCUCAGCGUUGCAGAGCAACUAUGUGGGAGCACGAGGGAUAGUUCUCUUUCUGCUCCUUAUAACUCCUAGUAUAAAUGGUAGCUAGUUUUGGAUAUUGAACCAAUGUUUUUGGUUAAAUCCUGAAGUUGAUAGUGGGCAUGUUCAAAGUUCAAAUGUUCAUUUCAUCUUCAAAGUCCCGAAUUGAAUAGACAGUAGGGAGUAUUCAAAACUAACUGUGGAAGAUAGACCACCCCUUAGAGGCUUUUACUCACUGCUCAUUGCCGCUAAAGAUUCAUUCACAUUAAAAUUGAUUAAAAGUUUACCACAUCUCAUCUUUCAAAAGAGGGAAGUGUAAUUUCAAAAAACAAGAGGGUGCUAAGCUUCCUUCAUAAGAUUGCCCAAAUUAGCAUGUUCUAGCUGUGAUUUUGACAAUUCCAUUUAAACUCCAAAUUGCAGUCCCAAUAUUAUUGAGAUGCUUGACUUAGGUAGUCAAGAAGUGAUUAAUUUUAAUAUUGUGGUUUUGUUAAUGAAUGUUUAUUGCUAUGAAUUUUGACGUGUUUUCUAUUCUUUACGGAUGUAUAUUGAUCUGUACAUGUGUAAAAGAUUUAAGGUUCAUAAAGAUGAGAAAAUAUAGGGAUUAAUUACGUUGACCUUCCUUGAAGUUAAUUAUUAUUUUGCUCUUUUUGUUGGAGAAAGUACAUAAAUAUGACAUAUGAUAGAUCACUUUAGCACAAUCUACUUUAUAUACUCCCAUCGCAUACUUUACAUACUGAUACUUUGAAGACCUUCCUUUCCUUAAAAAUUAUACAUAGCUAACCUACUUUAUGAACGGUCUUGUACAAAGUCAUACUGGAAAUAAAAAUGCAGAGGAAACGGGUGUAAUUUACCACAAUGGUAUAUACCCUGCAAAGUGCUAACCUCUAGCGAAACAAUUGCUGAAACUGUUGCUGAUUGGUACUUUGACCGCAAAGUUCUCAAGCUAAUUGACUGCCCUUAUCCAUGCAAUCCCACUUGCCGCAAUAUGGAUUUCACCAGAAAAUAGAAAAGCUUAGGGAACCAGG